UACAGAGGUCUCAAGCGUUGUUCGGAUUCAUUGGGCGUAAAGGGUGCGUAGGUGGCGCGCUAAGUCAGGUGUGAAAUUUCGGAGCUUAACUCCGAAACUGCAUUUGAUACUGGCGUGCUUGAGGACUGGAGAGGAGACUGGAAUUUACGGUGUAGCGGUGAAAUGCGUAGAUAGUCGUAAGGAAGACCAGUGGCGAAGGCGGGUCUCUGGACAGUUC
rnacentral:rRNA from 1 species